GGAGAGAUGCCGGAGUGGUCGAUCGGGGCGGUCUCGAAAACCGUUGACUACGCGAGUGGUCCCAGGGUUCGAAUCCCUGUCUCUCCG
rnacentral:tRNA from 1 species